rnacentral:rRNA from 1 species
UGGGGAAUUUUGGACAAUGGGGGCAACCCUGAUCCAGCAAUGCCGCGUGUGUGAAGAAGGCCUUCGGGUUGUAAAGCACUUUUGUCCGGAAAGAAAACGCCGUGGUUAAUACCCGUGGCGGAUGACGGUACCGGAAGAAUAAGCACCGGCUAACUACGUGCCAGCAGCCGCGGUAAUACGUAGGGUGCAAGCGUUAAUCGGAAUUACUGGGCGUAAAGCGUGCGCAGGCGGUCCGCUAAGACAGAUGUGAAAUCCCCGGGCUUAACCUGGGAACUGCAUUUGUGACUGGCGGGCUAGAGUAUGGCAGAGGGGGGUAGAAUUCCACGUGUAGCAGUGAAAUGCGUAGAGAUGUGGAGGAAUACCGAUGGCGAAGGCAGCCCCCUGGG